rnacentral:rRNA from 1 species
GACGAACGCUGGCGGCGUGCUUAACACAUGCAAGUCGAACGGUAAGGCCCUUCGGGGUACACGAGUGGCGAACGGGUGAGUAACACGUGGGUGAUCUGCCCUGCACUUCGGGAUAAGCCUGGGAAACUGGGUCUAAUACCGGAUAGGACCACUGCCUGCAUGGGUGGUGGUGGAAAGCUUUUGCGGGGUGGGAUGGGCCCGCGGCCUAUCAGCUUGUUGGUGGGGUGAUGGCCUACCAAGGCGACGACGGGUAGCCGGCCUGGGAGGGUGACCGGCCAGACUGGGACUGAGAUACGGCCCAGACUCCUACGGGAGGCAGCAGUGGGGAAUAUUGCACAAUGGGCGCAAGCCUGAUGCAGCGACACCGCGUGAGGGAUGACGGCCUUCGGGUUGUAAACCUCUUUCAGCAUCGACGAAGCGAAAGUGACGGUAGGUGCAGAAGAAGGACCGGCCAACUACGUGCCAGCCGCCGCCGUAA